rnacentral:ncRNA from 1 species
UUUCUGUCAGGCGAACCGUCACCGGAUGGUGUGCCUGUCAAGCAAUCGCUUGACUAGCCUACAGGAACGUC